UAGUUUCUGCAUUCUGCCUCUCCCUCACUCUCCCUGCCGUUGCUCUGCUAUGAAUUCAGUACGUUCAUUGGGUAUGUAUUUUUUGUCGUUAGUUUAAAUGUAUUAAUGUAAAUUCGUAGUAACGCUAUUAAUUUUGUUAUCGUUAGGGAUAUUUGUGAUUGGUGAUUGGUGGAGAACGAUUGAGAAGGUAUGUUAUUGUAAAAGUUUGUUUGUUAUGUUUGUAAUUUUUUUGUGAAGUUAUAUGUGUAUAAUGUUGUGAAAUUGUGCGUGACAUAGCACAAUGUGUUGUGAUGUACGAAGUUAAUUGAAAUUAACUUCGUACUUUUAUUUUAUGUUUAGUAACACGUAGUUUCCCGUUCGAGAUUAGUUGGAUUUCGU
rnacentral:lncRNA from 1 species